rnacentral:rRNA from 1 species
GACGAACGCUGGCGGCGUGCUUAACACAUGCAAGUCGAACGGAAAGGCCCUGCUUUUGUGGGGUGCUCGAGUGGCGAACGGGUGAGUAACACGUGAGUAACCUGCCCUUGACUUUGGGAUAACUUCAGGAAACUGGGGCUAAUACCGGAUAGGAGCUCCUGCUGCAUGGGGGGGGUUGGAAAGUUUCGGCGGUUGGGGAUGGACUCGCGGCUUAUCAGCUGGUUGGUGGGGUAGUUGCUUUCCAAGGCUUUGACGGGUAGCCGGCCUGAGAGGGUGACCGGCCACCUUGGGACUGAGAUACGGACCAGAAUCGUACGGGAGGCAGCAGUGGGGAAUAUUGCACAGUGGCCGGAAGCGUGAUGCAGCAACGCCGCGUGCGGAAUGACGUCCUUCGGGUUGUAAACCGCUUUCGCCUGUGACGAAGCGUGAGUGACGGUAAUGGGUAAAGAAGCACCGGCUAACUACGUG